AUUGAACGCUGGCGGCACGCCUAACACAUGCAAGUCGAGCGGCAGCGAGAGUAGUAGCAAUACUACUUGUCGGCGAGCGGCGGACGGGUGAGGAAAGUGUAGGAAUCUGCCCUUUAGCGGGGGAUAACUAAGGGAAACUUUAGCUAAUACCGCAUAAUCUAGAGAUAGCAAAGUUGCACGCGAGGGUUACACGAGAGGAGGAGACUGCAUCCGAUUAGCUAGUUGGUGAGGUAAAGGCUCACCAAAGCGAUGAUCGGUAACUGGUCUGAGAGGACGACCAGUCACACUGGGACUGAGACACGGCCCAGACUCCUACGGGAGGCAGCAGUGGGGAAUCUUGGACAAUGGGGGCAACCCUGAUCCAGCGAUGCCGCGUGGGUGAAGAAGGCCUUCGGGUUGUAAAGCCCUUUAGGCUGGGAAGAAGUUAGUUAGCUUAAUACGCUAAUUGAUUGACGGUACCAGCAGAAUAAGCACCGGCAAACUCUGUGCCAGCAGCCGCGGUAA
rnacentral:rRNA from 1 species